rnacentral:misc_RNA from 1 species
UUUCCGUAGGUGAACCUGCGGAAGGAUCAUUAACGAGUAAGGGUCAUUCUGGCCCGACCUCCAACCCUUUGUUUAAUUACUAUGUUGCUUGGGCGGGCCCGUUUCACGACCGCCGGAAGUCCUAUGACUGCUCGCCCGGGCCCGCCAAUAGCCUUCUACAAACUCUAGAUCAAUUGUGAUGUCUAGGGAAUAAAUUCAAUAGUUAAAACUUUCAACAACGGAUCUCUUGGUUCUG